UACAGAGGUCUCAAGCGUUGUUCGGAUUCAUUGGGCGUAAAGGGUGCGUAGGUGGCGCGCUAAGUCAGGUGUGAAGUUUCGGAGCUUAACUCCGAAACUGCAUUUGAUACUGGCGUGCUUGAGGACUGGAGAGGAGACUGGAAUUCAUGGUGUAGCAGUGAAAUGCGUAGAGAUCAUGAGGAAGACCAGUGGCGAAGGCGGGUCUCUGGACAGUUCCUGACACUGAGGCACGAAGGCCAGGGGAGCAAACGGG
rnacentral:rRNA from 1 species